ensembl:lncRNA
CUGUGGCUGGCAGCUGUAGCUCUGAUUCGACCUCCAGCCUGGAGACCUCCAUAUGCCACAGGUGUGGCCCUAAAAAGUAAAAAAAAAAAAAAAAGUUGAAUUAAGAAGUAACAUCAUAAAAAUAAAUGCUCAAAUUUCUUAUAUUUUUACCUACUUUUUAGAUUUCAGUUGCCAAACUAAACUUAAAAUUGCAUAUGUGUUGCAAUGUUUAUUUGUUUAUUUGGUACAUGGGUAACACCAUACACAGUUCAUCCUGUAAGUUUAACAAAUCCAAAGUGUCUACAUCCUGCUCUUCGAGGUGAAUCCAGUGAUAGACACUUGGAGUUGGUGGCAAUGUCAAACUGCUAUGAAAGUUUCUCAGGAGUUCUCAUUGUGGCUCAGCAGGUUACCACCCUGACUAGUAUCCAUGAGGAUGUGAAUUCAAUCCCUGGCCUUGCUCAGUGGGUUAAGGAUCCAUUGUUGCCACAAGCUGCAGCACAGGUGGUGGAUGCAGCUCAGAUCUGGUGUUGCUGUGGCUGUGGCGAAGGCCAUCAGCUGUUGCUCCAAUUAGCCUCCUGGCAUGGGAACUUCCAUACCUCAGGUGCGGCCCUAAAAAACAAAAAAUAAAAAUAAACUGCUAUGAAAAUUUCUCGGUUUUAUUCUCACUUUCCAUAUUUAAUGCCUCAUGGAGCAGAAGCUGACUGUGGACACCACAGGUCCAUGGACUGUAGUUUGAGUAGCACUACAUUGUACUAGUCUCUACUUUUGUGUGUACGUCUGUCUUCUAUUACUGCAUAACAAAUUACCACAAACUAAGUGGCUUAAAAGAACAUAUACUCACUAUCUCACAAUUUUUGUGUGUUAGAAGUCCAGUAAUACUUAGGGGGCACUCUGCACAGGGUCUUAUGAGGCAACAGUAAAGGUGUCAUCUAGGCUGCAUUCCCACCUAGAAGUUCCCCUUGGGAAGAAUGCUGGCAAAUUCAAUUCUUCUCAGCUGUAAGACUGAGGUCCAUACCCUGACUGGCUGCUGCUCUCUGCCCUGAGAAGGAAGUUCAUAGUAUUGCUGUUGCUUUCAUCAGGCAAGCAGGAGAGAGUCUCUGUUGCCUUGCAUUUCUUUUAAAGAGUUCAUCUGAUUAGGUCAUGCCCAUUCAGAUAAAUCUCUCUUUUCAUUAACUUAAGGUCAAUUGCUUAGGGACCUUAGCAACAUUUUCAGAAUCCCUUUACUUUUGCAAUAUAUGAGACCCACUCUUGGGCAUAACAUCAAGAGGGUGGAGAUCAUAACACUGUGUAGAAUUUUGCCUACAAGGUGUGUUUUGCCUACAAGGUGUGUAGUCCUCUUCAUCAUCAUCAAAAAAUAAAUUAUAUAGGCAAUAUAUAAUAUAGAGAAAAUACAUAAUUAAUAACUAUAUAUAGAAAACCCUAAAGACUCCACCAAAAAUGCUUAGAACUAAUAAACAAGCUCAGUAAAGUUGCAAGAUAUCAAAUCAAUAAAUAAAAAUUAGUUACAUUUCUAUAUAUAAUAACAACCUAUCAGAAAGAGAAAUUAAUAAUCCCACUUAAAAUUGAAUCAAAAAAGAAUGAAAUACCAAGGAUUAAAUUUAACCAAGUAGGUCAAGAUUCUGUACACUGAAAACUAUAAGAUAUUUAUGAAAGAAACUGAAGAUACAAGUACAUGGAAAGAUAUUUUAUACCCACAGAUUGGACGAAUUAAUAGUUAAAAUGUUUGUACUACCCAAAGGGAUUUAUAGAUUCAGUGCCAUCUCUCAGAAAAUACCAAUGGCAUUUUUCACAGAAAUAGAAUGAACAAUCCCAAAAUUUGUAUAGAACCACAGAAGAUUCCAAACAGACAAAGCAAUAAAAAGAAAGUAGAACAAAGCUGGAGGCAUCACACUUCCUGAUGUUAAAAAGAAACAAGCCCCAAAUGAAGUCACUUGUAUCAGUGCCAUUGGUGUAGUGUUAUAAUGCAAGAUUCCCAAAAUGGAGUCACUUGUGCUAAUACCCACCAAGACUUAACACCUAACCUAACUGCAGUUUCAGCCUCUCCCAGGAAUGAAAAUUUAAACUAUUCAGUCUUGAUUUCCUGGUCAGCACUAGUAAGGUAAUCUGCCUAAGACCCAUUGCCUACCCCUAAAGAAAAUAACUUCACCUUAAAUAAUACACUCUUUAACUUCCUUGUCCUACCCUCUUUUUACCUAUAAAAACUUCCAUUUUAUUCAGUUCCUUGGAACACCUUUCUACUUGCUAGAUGAGAUGCUGCCCAAUUCAUGAAUCUUUGAAUAAAUCUUCAAAGUUAAUCAGUGAAAUUUUUUUUUGCUUUUGAAUCUUGUUUUUUUAACAUUGGUUUCAGAGUAUAUUACAAAGCUAUAGUAAUGAAAACAGUAUGGCACUGGCCUAAAAACAGGCACAAAGAUCAGUGAAGAAAAUAUGAGAUCCUAGAAAUAAACCCAUGCCUAUGGUCAAUUAAUUUGUAACAAAGGAGCCAAGAAUAUACAGUGUGGAAGGGAUAGUCCAUAUGGGAAAACUAGGCAGUUACAUAUAAAAGAAUGAAACUGGACCACUAUCUUACACCAUACACAAAAAUCGUCUCAAAAUUGAAUAAGACUUGAACAUACAACUGAAGCCAUAAAAUGCUGAGAAGAAAACACAAGGGAUAAGCUCUUUGACACCAGUCUUGGCAAUGAUUUUUUUUUAUUUGACUCCAAAAGCAAAUACAACAAAAGUAAAAAUAAACAAGUGGGACCUCAUCAAACUAAACAGCUUCUGCACAUCAAGGAAACCAUAAAAAAAAGACAGCCUUCGGAAUGGAAGAAAUUAUUUGCAAAUCAAAUAUUUGAUAAAGGUUCCUAUGCAAAAUAUAAAGAACUGACACAACACAAUAGCAAAGAAUCCCAAACAAUUCAAUUAUAAAGGGGUGAAGGAACUGAAUAGACAUUUUUCUGAGGACAUGCAAAUGGCCAACAGGUAUAUGAAAAGGUGCUCAACAUCACUAAUCAUCAGGGAAAUGCAAAUCAAAACCAUAAUAAGAUAUCACUUAACACAUGUUAGGAUGGCUAUUAUAAAAAAGACAAGCGAGGAGUUCCCACUGCGGCACAGUGGGUUAAGAAUCUGACUGCAACAGCUUGGGUUGCUGCAGAGGUACAGGUUCAAUCCCCAGCCUGGUACAGUGGGUUAAGAGAUUUGGCAUUGCUGCAGCUGUGGCAUAGGUCGCAGCUGCAGCUCUGAUUCAGUCCCUGGCCUGGGAACUUCCAUGUGCCUUGGGUGGGGCCAUAAAAAAAAAUACAGGUAAUAAUAAGUGUUGGUGAGGAUGUGGAGAAAAGGGAAGUCUUUUGCACUGUGGGUGGGAAUGUGAAUUGGUGCAGCCAUUAUGGAAAACUACUAUGUGAUCCAGUAAUCCUACUUCUUAUAUUUUUACAUGAAAAAUGAAAAAAACCUUUAAAAUGAAAAUAAGAAAGAACAGUAUUUGUAAAAAUAGAACAAUAAUGUCCCAAGACCCUCCUUCUCAUGAUGUUGAUGCCAGAGAGUCCAGAGGCAAGGAGAAUGCACAGAACCUUUGAUGUCAUGUGAAGUCUUUAAUGGAAUGAAAUAAUUAAUGCUGAGGGCAUGAUGAGGCUGAUGGGCAGAUUUGUUUCCAGGGAAGUGAUGUUCCUGCAGUCUAUUGGUCAAUGGUCUUGAUACAAUUAGUGAGGUUUCCAACUAGAGUCUCAGGGGCCUGUCUUUGUUCUUAUCUUGUAAAACAUUUUUAGCAAUAACUUUGAUAGUUAUUCCAUUUUCUGACAAAACAGCUGGAAAGAAGAGAUAAAGUGAUAGACAACAGAGUGAAGAUUUAGAAUUAUCUUGGGAGUCAAGUAUGUCAAGUUAACACUAAAAAAGAUUAAUUUGCACAAGGCAGAAGGACAGGUUUUACGCAGACAUUUUCCAAGUCAAUUGUAAAUUGGAAAUAUGGGGAGACUUGAAAGAAUUCCAGUGGGUGGGGGGAAGAUCUGGUUGUAUUAAUCAAUGCCAGGUGCAGUAUAAACCAAAAGUUUAAUGUGGCAACUGAAAAGAUGAGUUCAACCUGGGUUUGCAUCAGCGCUUUCUGCACUGCCCUUUCCAUGGAUCACCACAUCUGGGUAUUAUGCUUGAGAGCCUCUUCACUGGGCUCACAGUUGCCCAGCCUUCCUUUUCCCUCUUCCCUGGCACAUACAACCAGCUUCAUCGUCAUAUGUGGGGGGACUGCUUCCCCAUCCCUAUACCCUAACCCUAAGCAACUCCUCAUCACCUACCAAGUCAUGAAUAAAACUUUGGCCUGGAAGGUUUUAUUGGCUAUGUUGGCCAUGUUGUGGCCAGCUCCACUUUCUAGCUUUCUUCUCCCUAUACUCUCCUACAUGUUUCAGCUGAAUUUGAGAUCUCACCACUUCCUGAAUACAUUCUGGUUUCUCCCACCCCCAACCCAUGCAGCGGUCUCCUCCCAUGGCCCUCCAUGUGCAUCUACUUGAAAGUUCCAGUCCUUCCUGCACCUCGCCUUACCACUUACACCUCAACCCUCAGUCUCCCAUCCAGGAAACUCUACAUUUUUCUUCUUGUUUUUUGAAUAUUUACACUUUAAAAAAUUAUAUCUGGAGUUACCGCUGUGGCACAAUAGGAUUGGCAGUGACUUGGGAGCACGAGAACGUGGGUUUGAUUCCUGGCCCGGCACAGUGGGUUAAGGAUCCAGCUUUGCCACAGCUGUGGCUUAGGUCUCAACUGCAGCUGGGAUCUGAUCCCUGGCCCAGGAACUCCACAUGCCAUGGGGCAGCCCAAAAAAGACUGGAUACUAUAAAACUUGGAGGAAAAUAUACGCCAAACACUCUCUGACAUAAACCACAGCAAUAUCUUCUCAGAUCUACCUCCUAGAGUAAUGACAAUAAAAACAAAAAUAAACAAAUGAGACCUAAUUAAACUUAAACAUUUUUGCACAGAAAAGGAAAUCCUAAACAAAAUGAAAAGACAACAUACAGAUGGGAGAAAAUAUUUGCAAAUGAAGCAACAAGGGAUUAAUCUCCAAAAUAUAUAAACACUUCCUGCAGCUCAAUUAAAAAAAAAAAACCAAACAACUCCAUCAAAAAAUGGGCAGAAGAUCUAAACAGACAUUUCUCCAAAGAACAUCCAUACAGAUGACCAAAAAACACAUGAAAAGAUGUUCAGCGUCACUAAUUAUUAGAGAAAUGCAAAUCAAAACUGUUACGUGGUACCACCUUACACCAGCCAGAAUGGCCACCAUCAAAAAGUCUAAAAACAAUAAAUGCUAGAGAGAAUGUGGAGAAAAGGGAACCCUCCUACACUGUUGGUGGGAAUGCAAAAUGAUACAGCUACUAUGGAAAACAGUAUGGAGGGACCUCCCAAAACUAAAUAUAGAAUUACCAUAAGAUCCAGCAAUCGCACUCCUGGGCAUCUAUCAGGAGAAAACAGUGACUCAAAAAGGUACAUGUACUCCAAUGUUCAUUGCAGCACCAGUAGCCAAUACAUGGGUGUAACGUAAAUAUCCAGCCACAGAGAAUUGGAUAAAGAUGUGGUACGUAUGUACAAUGGUAUAUUACUCAGCCAUAAAAAGAAUGAAAUAAUGGCAUUUGCAGCAAUAUGGAUGGACCUAGAAAUUAUCAUGUUAAAUGAAGUUAGUCAGACAGUGAAAGAUAAGCAUCAUAUGUUAUCACUUAUGUGUGGAAUCUAAAAGAAGGAUACAGGAGUUCCUGUCAUGGCUUAGCGGAAAUGAAUCUGACUAGCAUUCAUGAAGACACAGGUUCAAUCCCUGGCUUCGCUCGGUGGGUUAAAGAUCCAGCAUUGCCAUGAGCUGUCGUUUGGGUCAUAGACGCGGCUCGGACAUGGCAUUGCUGUGGCUGUGGUGUAGGCCACAGUUACAGCUCUGUUUCGACCCCUAGCCUGGGAACCUCCAUAUGCUGUGGGUGUGGCCCUAAAAAGACACAAAACCCAAAAACAAUUUAA